AGUACACUUGAAAAUCGAAUCAAGAUUUCUUAUAUAAAAGUUGUUUACACAUUGCUAACAAAAGCUCACAUCGUAUUAUUAUAGUAAUGUAUUACACUCAGAUUCUAAAAACUACGAAAAAUGGAUAUGAAAAAUUAAAAACAAUAAGCAUUAUUGCCUAUCAGUGAGAAUCAUAAAAGUAUAAGUCAAAUUUGAAUUCAAAGUAGAUGUAUUGUAGCGGUUUUCGAUCUUU